CCGACAGCCCAGCGGCAAGCAGCUUGCAUAUUGUACUUACAUCAUUCUUAACCCUUCCGUUCCUGGAGGGGGCUUGGCGGGAUCAGGGGAUCCCUGAGCUCCGGAACACGCAGGACCUGGAUGUGAGAGGAGAGUCCCAGAGCCAGGGGAUCAGUGUUUAAAUUGAGUGAAAACAUAAAGGAUCUAAGACCUACUUCUAUCUGUAAAAGGUUUCCCAGGUGGCAGUGGAAAGAAGUCCUUCUUGAUGUAUGUUUCAAAUAAAGGAUUUAUUUGUCAUCUUUGGUUUUCAGCAGUUUGACUCUCAAGUGCCAUAGAUAGUUUUCUUCAUAGUAGUCCUACUUGGAGAUCCUUGAGAUAACUGAAUCUAAUUCCCCCCUUCCCACUUUCCAGUGUCUGUGGUUGCUCUGAACUCUGUCUUCUGAUUCCUCAGGCAAGAAGGAUUGUGGUUUUUCUACCGGAGUUUUAGCCACCUUGUUCAACAUCAACUUAUUUUUGCCCUCAGGCUAAAGGUUGUAAAACAAAUGGGAACCUCCACCCUUGCUUUGGUUUGCUCUCCAGUGCCUUCAGUUUGUUGCUUUUAGUAUUUUGUCGAGAGUUUACAGUUGUUAUAUGCAGGAGCGUCAGAUGCGGUAAAAGCUUACACACCCAUGUCAUAAGGGGAACUGUGAUCAGUUCUUAAUAUGAACUUGAUCUUAUAUCCUUUGUGCCUACUUUGGUGUCAUGAUGUCUUGUUAUUUCUGCAUGGAUGAUGCACCCUUAUUUCUCUUUGAAAUCCUCCAAAUAUUAUUUCAAACUCAUUUUUAUGUUUUAUGAAAUAAAUUCCACUUCAAAUAUAAUUUAUUUUUCUCAUUGCUUUUUUUCAGCUUCUCAUUUUAAAAAAAUUUGUUUUAGAAUUUGCAGGCUUAUUUUGAGUGCUUUUGUUUUCUCUAUUCCCUGUAUUAUUGGGCUGUUUUAUGUGUUUUGUUUGUUUUAUUUAGUUUUUUUUUUUGGCCAUGCUGCGAGGCUUGUGUGAUCUGAAUUCCUCAACCAGCGACUGAACCCAGGCCAUGGUAGUGAAAGCUGAGCCCUAACCACUGGACUGCCAGGAAACUCCCUGUUUUAUGGCACCCACUUAGUUCUCUGGGUGCCCAGUUGAAAACUAGGAUUUAUAAACAUACUUCAAUAAUAUACGGGAGUAUGGAAGACCUAGUAAGCAGUUUAGCUGAGCUUCUAGUAGCAAGAUUGUACUUUUCCUUGGGCUCACAGCUACCAAUAAGCUACAGCCCCCACCAGCAAGUCUGCCAAAUUUUUUCUCCUCUUCCUUUCACAUGUGAGAGAACUCACAUCAGGCCCUGAUUUCAAGUAGCGACACUACUGUUCCUAUCUUGCAUGAAAUACUUUUAGCUCCUCUUCUUCCACAGGAAUCAAAUUCCCGGUGGCUGUUGCUCUAUUUUGACCUGGAUGGAAACCCCCAUCUACUCUUUGGAUAGCCUGGAUAUUAUCUUUUCUAUAAAUCUGAGUAUGUCUUUUUGAUCUCUCUUAGUAUUUCACCCAUUAUUGCUAUGUGUUUGGAGUAGAUGGUGUUUAUAAAGCAUGACCUCAUUGCAAAGUUUGACCCUGAAGUUGACAAGUCCUUUUGUCUUGUCUACUAUAUGCAGCAACGCUUCUAUAUAUUCUUUUGCUUCCCCAUUUUGUGUUUGUCAGAAAAAACAUUUAGUUUCCUUUCCAUGUUCUGCUUAAGCCAGUAGAUGCAAUCUUAUUUGUGUGAAGCAGGCCUCCUGAUUUUUAGAAUUAAGGUCAAGAAGAUGGAGUUAGUGAGUAUUUAUA